rnacentral:rRNA from 1 species
AGUGAACGCUGGCGGUAGGCCUAACACAUGCAAGUCGAACGGCAGCACAGUAAGAGCUUGCUCUUACGGGUGGCGAGUGGCGGACGGGUGAGGAAUACAUCGGAAUCUACUUUUUCGUGGGGGAUAACGUAGGGAAACUUACGCUAAUACCGCAUACGACCUACGGGUGAAAGCAGGGGAUCUUCGGACCUUGCGCGAUUGAAUGAGCCGAUGUCGGAUUAGCUAGUUGGCGGGGUAAAGGCCCACCAAGGCGACGAUCCGUAGCUGGUCUGAGAGGAUGAUCGGCAACACUGGAACUGAGACACGGUCCAGACUCCUACGGGAGGCAGCAGUGGGGAAUAUUGGACAAGGGGGGAAAGCCUGCUCCAGCCAUACCGCGUGGGUGAAGAAGGCCUUCGGGUUGUAAAGCCCUUUUGUUGGGAAAGAAAAGCAGCAGGUUAAUACCCCGCUGUUCUGACGGUACCCAAAGAAUAAGCACCGGCUAACUUCGUG